AGUGGCGAACGGGUGAGUAACACGUGAGUAACCUGCCCUUGACUUUGGGAUAACUUCAGGAAACUGGGGCUAAUACCGGAUAGGAGCUCCUGCUGCAUGGUGGGGGUUGGAAAGUUUCGGCGGUUGGGGAUGGACUCGCGGCUUAUCAGCUUGUUGGUGGGGUAGUGGCUUACCAAGGCUUUGACGGGUAGCCGGCCUGAGAGGGUGACCGGCCACAUUGGGACUGAGAUACGGCCCAGACUCCUACGGGAGGCAGCAGUGGGGAAUAUUGCACAAUGGGCGGAAGCCUGACGCAGCAACGCCGCGUGCGGGAUGACGGCCUUCGGGUUGUAAACCGCUUUCGCCUGUGACGAAGCGCGAGUGACGGUAAUGGGUAAAGAAGCACCGGCUAACUACGUGCCAGCAGCCGCGGUGAUACGUAGGGUGCGAGCGUUGUCCGGAUUUAUUGGGCGUAAAGGGCUCGUAGGUGGUCGAUCGCGUCGGAAGUGUAAUCUUGGGGCUUAACCCUGAGCGUGCUUUCGAUACGGGUUGA
rnacentral:rRNA from 1 species